rnacentral:rRNA from 1 species
GAUGAACGCUGGCGGCGUGCCCAAUACAUGCAAGUCGAGCGAACAGACGAGGAGCUUGCUCCUCUGACGUUAGCGGCGGACGGGUGAGUAACACGUGGAUAACCUACCUAUAAGACUGGGAUAACUUCGGGAAACCAGAGCUAAUACCGGAUAAUAUAUUGAACCGCAUGGUUCAAUAGUGAAAGACGGUUUUGCUGUCACUUAUAGAUGGAUCCGCGCCGCAUUAGCUAGUUGGUAAGGUAACGGCUUACCAAGGCAACGAUGCGUAGCCGACCUGAGAGGGUGAUCGGCCACACUGGAACUGAGACACGGUCCAGACUCCUACGGGAGGCAGCAGUAGGGAAUCUUCCGCAAUGGGCGAAAGCCUGACGGAGCAACGCCGCGUGAGUGAUGAAGGUCUUCGGAUCGUAAAACUCUGUUAUUAGGGAAGAACAAAUGUGUAAGUAACUAUGCACGUCUUGACGGUACCUAAUCAGAAAGCCACGGCUAACUACGUG